UACGUAGGGGGCAAGCGUUGUCCGGAUUUAUUGGGCGUAAAGAGCGUGUAGGCGGUUUGGUAGGUCCGUUGUGAAAACUCGAGGCUCAACCUCGAGACGCCGGCGGAAACCAUCAGGCUAGAGUUCGGCAGGGGAGACUGGAAUUCCUGGUGUAGCGGUGAAAUGCGCAGAUAUCAGGAGGAACACCGGUGGCGAAGGCGGGUCUCUGGGCCGAUACUGACGCUGAGGAGCGAAAGCGUGGGGAGCAAACAGG
rnacentral:rRNA from 1 species